UCCAGAACAAGGCAGGCAGCUUAUAUGCAACUGAGGAGAUAUAGAAAAGUGAAUACAAAGUAUAUGCCAAGACAUUUCAAGAAGGAGAGAGUGACAAUAGCUUAGGGAAUGAGGAAAGACCUCCUAUGGAAUAUGUCACAUGAGCUGUUCUUUAAAGGAACCCAGGGAUUCUAUGAGGCAAAGGUCUAUCACUUCUCCCUCAGGAGGUAGGUGGUAUGCUUCAUCAUUGAUACUCUGGAAUUUUGAUUGGUCAUUGCAUUCAUCAGAUUUCAUGGGGAAAAAUGAAGCAUGGAGACAUAAAGUGACUGGCCUACUGACUGCACUUAUUGCAACGCUUUGCCCAUGGAGGACCAUGACAUCAGGAAGGUGAUGGAAGGUGAUGUUACGACUUACAGGGUCAUCAAAGUCCAGUGGCAAGACAAAGUCAA